AUCAGCACCGAGAGCGCUUGCGACAGCAGUGGGGCCCCUAAAGGAAGAGAGAAUUGAUUUGGGAAAUUGCCUUGUCACAGAUUUGGGGGGGAAAAAAAAGUGUCAAAUGCAAUCAACGAUUGCAUUUUAUGAUCGCCCAUGUCAAUAUCAAUCUCCAGUUGGAGAGCGGGCGUUCCCUCAUGAGCCGCACCUGGCCCGAAAUAUUCCUUAGCUGCCUUUAAAAGCCAGGCCACGCCGACAAUUGGCUGUCGGAUUAUUAAACCUUGCUCACGACACUGUUUGUGAAAUAAAUAGUCACUAAUC